UCCGUUAAAUUGAGUCGUUAAGAAUGUCAGAUCUGAGUGCCAGUGCGAUAUCCAAGACAAAAGAAAGGGGCAAUUUAGGAAGUUUGACAUCCAUCUUCUUCUUCUUAUUCUAUAAACCUAAAGAAGGAAUAACCAUGAAAUUACAAAAUCUGCUACUGCUGCAACGAUGGAGAAGGAAAUGGAAGAAGCCCAACUUGAGUUAGAGGAAGUAGGAGCAAGCUACCCCCUCUGUCUUUGCCACUAUACACAACCUCCAUCCUUCAAUCUAUUCAUCAAUCGUGUACUUCUAUCUCAAUGGUUUCAACCAGUCCUCCUUCUCCUGAAGGCAGAAUCAGCCAAGCAACAGUCAUAAAAAGCAGUAAAAGCUCUUACAAAAUGAAAAAAACUCCACCCUAGAACAACCUGCCAUAAACCAGCUGCAGGAAAAAAAGAAAAGUAAGAAUUUCUUGAAGAUGAAAAUGGUAAUGAAGAAGAAGGUUUUAUUUACCUCUUCUUGACCCUCAAGAAAAUUCCACCGAAAGAUUCAUCCAAAAUACCCCACAAAAUUUCACUUCCAAACCUGCUUUACUCUCUGGCUGACGACAAUCUCAACCUUUGCUUGAUUAUAAAUGACCGGCCCAUCAAAUCCCCGUAUAGAAUUAUUGCAAAAUUCGCUUAAAAGAAGGUGAAGUCUGAGGAUAUUUCCAUUGAUAUGGUCGUCAAGCUAUCCAAGUUGAAAUUAGAUUGCAAGACUCUAGAGGGAAGGCGAAAGAUGUAUCAAUCAUACGAUAUGUUUUUUGCGGAUAAAAGGGAUGUUUCGUUGCUUCAAGUGUUUUAGGGAAGCAUUUUUAUAAGAAGAAGAGAAAAAUUUCAGUGUCGUUGGAUUUGAGUAGGGAUAAUUGGAAAGAGCAGAUUGAGACGG
rnacentral:lncRNA from 1 species